rnacentral:tRNA from 1 species
GCCCAUAGCUCAGUGGUUAUGGCGCCAGCCAUAUACGCUGGGGCUCCCAGGUUCAAACCUGGCCUGGGCC